UAGGGAAUAUUGGACAAUGGGUGAGAGCCUGAUCCAGCCAUGCCGCGUGCAGGAAGAAGGCGUUAUGCGUUGUAAACUGCUUUUGCCAGGGGAUAAAAAGACCGUGCGCGGUUAAUUGAAGGUACCUGGUGAAUAAGCCACGGCUAACUACGUGCCAGCAGCCGCGGUAAUACGUAGGUGGCAAGCGUUGUCCGGAUUUAUUGGGUUUAAAGGGUGCGUAGGUGGCCCUGUAAGUCAGUGGUGAAAUAUCUCAGCUUAACUGAGAGGGUGCCAUUGAUACUGCAGGGCUUGAGUACAGAUGAGGUAGGCGGAAUUGACGGUGUAGCGGUGAAAUGCGUAGAUAUGUGGAGGAAUACCGAUGGCGAAGGCAGCCCCCUGGGCUAACACUGACGCUCAUGCACGAAAGCGUGGGGAGCAAACAGGAUUAGAUACCCCCGUAGUCCCUGAGCGGGCUGGCAAGGCGCAU
rnacentral:rRNA from 1 species